UUUCCGUAGGUGAACCUGCGGAAGGAUCAUUAUUAGAUUUUGAAACUUCAGGCUGCUGCUGGCUCUCCUCGGAGGGCAUGUGCACGCUUGUUGUCCAUUAUUUCUCCCACUGUGCACAAAUUGUAGACCUUUCAGUAGGCCUAUGUUGUUUUUCACAAUCUCUGAAUGUAUUAGAAUGGUUUUGAAUCUUGGGAAAUACAAUACAACUUUCAGCAACGGAUCUCUUGGCUCUC
rnacentral:misc_RNA from 1 species